CAGAGAACACCAACACUGUGACUGCCUGGACUGAUGCAGCACAAUACACUGACUACACUGGACUGGUCUGUACAACACAGCACCACUUUACAGCUACACUGGAUAUAUGGCAGCAGAGGACACCAACACUGUGACUGCGGGCGAACUAACCAGAAGGAUUAUUACAGGCUCUUGUACGAAACUGUGGAGGAGACCAGAUUUUGAACACAAAGAUCAUGUUAAGAAGCUUCUUGUGGAAUAUAUGACCUCACUACAAAGGUUCUUCACUUGGAACUUUCAUUUGAAUGUUCUUGAGAUAUUGGACAUAAUCGUCGGGUCCCUCACUAUCAGAGGAGGUGACAGGACUGGUGGUUAUAUCAUAAUACAUCAGGGCCUUAUCAAUGCCUUUGGAGGUAAGUUUCUUUCCACAGGGAAUUACACAAUAAACUAUAAUGCCUAAAAGAAUUAAAGUUACAAGUAUGAAUAUGCUUAUUUGCACAAGAGCCUGUUUCCAAUUUUCAAACCACCCAAAAUAUUGGCUCCAUGGGUUAUCAAUACCUGAAUUUUUCUUAAGUUCUAUGGAUAAGGUUUCUAACUUGU